UCGAUUGAGUUUGAUCCUGGCUCAGGACGAACGCUGGCGGCGUGCUUAACACAUGCAAGUGGAGCGACGAACCAGGGCUUGCCCUGGGGCAAAGCCGCGAACGGGUGAGUAACACGUGGGUAACCUGCCCCGAUGACCGGGACAACCCGAGGAAACUCGGGCUAAUACCGGAUGUGUACGUGUGCCAUCAGGCGCACGUGGAAAGGAAGCUUCGGCCUCCGCACCGGGAUGGGCCCGCGGCCCAUUAGCUUGUUGGUGAGGUAACGGCUCACCAAGGCCGCGAUGGGUAGCUGGUCUGAGAGGACGAUCAGCCACACUGGGACUGAGACACGGCCCAGACUCCUACGAGAGGCAGCAGUGGGGAAUCUUGCGCAAUGCGCGAAAGCGUGACGCAGCAACGCCGCGUGGGGGAAGACGGCCUUCGGGUUGUAAACCCCUUUCAGUUGGGACGAAGCUGGCCUCGUUAACAGCGGGUGCCAGUGACGGUACCUUCAGAAGAAGCCCCGGCUAACUACGUGCCAGCAGCCGCGGUAAUACGUAGGGGGCAAGCGUUGUCCGGAAUCAUUGGGCGUAAAGAGCGUGUAGGCGGCUCGAUAAGUCCGCCGUGAAAGUCCAGGGCUCAACCCUGGGAUGCCGGUGGAAACUGUCAGGCUAGAGUCCGGAAGGGGCGAGUGGAAUUCCUGGUGUAGCGGUGAAAUG
rnacentral:rRNA from 1 species